UUCUUGGUCAUUUAGAGGAAGUAAAAGUCGUAACAAGGUUUCCGUAGGUGAACCUGCGGAAGGAUCAUUAAAGAAAUUUAAUAAUUUUGAAAAUGGAUUUUUUUGUUUUGGCAAGAGCAUGAGAGCUUUUACUGGGCAAGAAGACAAGAGAUGGAGAGUCCAGCCGGGCCUGCGCUUAAGUGCGCGGUCUUGCUAGGCUUGUAAGUUUCUUUCUUGCUAUUCCAAACGGUGAGAGAUUUCUGUGCUUUUGUUAUAGGACAAUUAAAACCGUUUCAAUACAACACACUGUGGAGUUUUCAUAUCUUUGCAACUUUUUCUUUGGGCAUUCGAGCAAUCGGGGCCCAGAGGUAACAAACACAAACAAUUUUAUCUAUUCAUUAAAUUUUUGUCAAAAACAAGAAUUUUCGUAACUGGAAAUUUUAAAAUAUUAAAAACUUUCAACAACGGAUCUCUUGGUUCUCGCAUCGAUGAAGAACGCAGCGAAAUGCGAUACGUAAUGUGAAUUGCAGAAUUCCGUGAAUCAUCGAAUCUUUGAACGCACAUUGCGCCCCUUGGUAUUCCAAGGGGCAUGCCUGUUUGAGCGUCAUUUCCUUCUCAAACAUUCUGUUUGGUAGUGAGUGAUACUCUUUGGAGUUAACUUGAAAUUGCUGGCCUUCUCAUUGGAUGUUUUUUUUCCAAAGAGAGGUUUCUCUGCGUGCUUGAGGUAUAAUGCAAGUACGGUCGUUUUAGGUUUUACCAACUGCGGCUAAUCUUUUUUUAUACUGAGCGUAUUGGAACGUUAUCGAUAAGAAGAGAGCGUCUAGGCGAACAAUGUUCUUAAAGUUUGACCUCAAAUCAGGUAGGAGUACCCGCUGAACUUAAGCAUAUCAAUAAGCGGAGGAA
rnacentral:rRNA from 1 species